AGAGUUUGAUCAUGGCUCAGGAUGAACGCUGGCGGCGUGCUUAACACAUGCAAGUCGAACGGAACUCUUUGGAGUUUAGUGGCGGACGGGUGAGUAACGCGUGAGAAUCGGCCCUCAGGUUGGGGACAACCAUUGGAAACGGUGGCUAAUACCGAAUAAGCCGAAAGGUGAAAGAUUAAUUGCCUGGGGAAGAGCUCGCGUCUGAUUAGCUAGUUGGUGGGGUAAAGGCCUACCAAGGCACCGAUCAGUAACUGGUCUGAGAGGAUGGCCAGUCACACUGGGACUGAGACACGGCCCAGACUCCUACGGGAGGCAGCAGCAAGGAAUCUUCGGCAAUGGGCGCAAGCCUGACCGAGCAACGCCGCGUGGAGGACGACGGCCUUCGGGUUGUAAACUCCUUUUCUGGGGGACGAUACGGACGGUACCCCAGGAAUCAGCCCCGGCUAACUCUGUGCCAGCAGCCGCGGUAAUACAGAGGGGGCAAGCGUUGUCCGGACUUACUGGGCGUACAGCGCGCGCAGGCGGUGCCAUAUGUGCUCGGUGACAUCUGCUCGCUUAACGAGCAGCGGCCCGAGUAGACAGUGGCGCUAGAGGCGGGGAGAGGGAUGUGGAAUACCCGGUGGAGCGGUGAAAUGCGUAGAGAUCGGGUGGAACACCAGCGGCGAAGGCGGCAUCCUGGCCCUGAACUGACGCUGAGGCGCGAUAGCGUGGGGAGCAAACGGGAUUAGAUACCCCCGUAGUCC
rnacentral:rRNA from 1 species